rnacentral:rRNA from 1 species
UGGGGAAUUUUCCGCAAUGGGCGAAAGCCUGACGGAGCAAUGCCGCGUGGAGGUGGAAGGCCUACGGGUCGUCAACUUCUUUUCUCGGAGAAGAAACAACUGACGGUAUCUGAGGAAUAAGCAUCGGCUAACUCUGUGCCAG